UGGAGGACCACCACCAGCCAACUUCUCCACUGUCAGAUAGGAACGAUAUGGAAACAUCUUGGAGGAGCAACAAAGACUGUGGAGAUGUCCAGCAGCUGAUUAGCCAUCAAGAAAUUCCAAAGUUCCACCAUGUUAAAGAGGAAGAGGAAGUGACAUACCCCUCCCACUUCAAAAGCGAAGAGGAUCAUCCAGACCUCGCCUACGUUAAAGAGGAAGAAGAGGAGUUUAAUGUCAGCAAGUUGCCACUUAUCAUCUCUGUAAAGAGUGAAGAUAAUGAAUAUUAAGCACCUAAACGGUCACCACCACCAGGCAACCUCUUAGCGCCGCUGUCAGAAAGCGACGACAUGGAAGAACCUUAAAGAGCGACGAAGACUAUGAGAGUGAAGACAAACAGUCUGGAACUUCUGAAAAGGAGACAAAUCAGAAAUUGGGUAAAAACAAUUUCAGCUGCUCCAUUUGUGGUAAAAAGUUUACCCGAAAGCCAAACAUGGUGGCGCACAUGAGGAUACACACAGGAGAAAAACCAUUUAGCUGCUCAGUUUGCGCGAAAACCUUCACUC